GGAAGCGUGGCCGAGUGGUUUAAGGCAACGGUCUUGAAAACCGUCGAUGGGCAACUAUCCUAGAGUUCUUAUCUA
rnacentral:tRNA from 1 species